GAGUUUGAUCAUGGCUCAGGACGAACGCUGGCGGCGUGCUUAACACAUGCAAGUCGAACGAGAAUCUACUGAAAGAGUUUUCGGACAAUGGAAGUAGAGGAAAGUGGCGGACGGGUGAGUAACGCGUGAGGAACCUGCCUUGAAGAGGGGGACAACAGUUGGAAACGACUGCUAAUACCGCAUGAUGCAUAAGGGUCGCAUGAUUCUUAUGCCAAAGAUUUAUCGCUUCAAGAUGGCCUCGCGUCUGAUUAGCUAGUUGGCGGGGUAACGGGCCCAUCAAGGCGACGAUCAGUAGCCGGACUGAGAGGUUGAACGGCCACAUUGGGACUGAGAUACGGCCCAGACUCCUACGGGAGGCAGCAGUGGGGAAUAUUGGGCAAUGGGCGCAAGCCUGACCCAGCAACGCCGCCGUGAAGGAAGAAGGCUUUCGGUAUGUAAACUUCUAUCAGCAGGGAAGAAAAUGACGGUACCUGACUAAGAAGACCCGGCUAACUACGUGCCAGCCGCCGCCGUAAC
rnacentral:rRNA from 1 species